AUGGCUUGGACUCCACUUUUCUUCUUCAUCAUCCUCCUUCACUGCACAGGGUCCCUCUCCCAGCCUGUGCUGACUCAGCCGCCCUCUGCAUCUGCCUCCCUGGGAGCCUCGGUCAAGCUCACCUGCACCCUGAGCAGUGGAUACAGCAACUACGGCAUUGCAUGGCACCAGCAGCAGCCAGGGAAGGCCCCUCGGUACUUGAUGUAUCUUAGCAGUUCUGGAACCAGCAGCAAGGGGGACGGGAUCCCUGACCGCUUCUCAGGCUCCAGCUCUGGAGCUGACCGCUCCUUAACCAUCUCUAACCUCCAGUCUGAGGAUGAGGCUGAUUAUUACUGUCAGAGCAGUUAUAGUUGGAAUGCUCACAGUGACACAGGCUGAUGAGGAAGUGGGACAAAAACCUCAGCUUGCUCUGGAGCUUUGUCUAUGACAAUUUCCAAAAUUUUUUUUAUAUGCUCUAAUUUGAGAAACCAAUUUUGCCUGCCAUAGAAGGAAACUGAUAGCA